AAAAAAAAAAAAAAGGAUUGCUGUUCCCAGAUUCUGGUAUUAUGGCAGGUUACAAUGACCACGGUCAUGAACCUCCAUUAACUGGUAUUCCGGUGGUUUCCAUUCAACAAAUAUCUUCCACGGCUCCAGCCACGGUUCUAAGAUUUAAAAGCACUUGGCAAGUCUUUUUCGAAACGUCUACUCAGGCCAGGAGUCUGAGGUUUUGCACAAAGAGUCUACAGAUGUUUGGAUCCCAGAAAACAGGCUAUCGGGGUAUGUUGAGCCACCCAGUGUCAAUCUUAGACGACAUUUCCUUUCGAAGAAGUAAACAGGGAACCUGAAGAAUUCUCCUUGAAGGUCCUGGUGGACCAUGAAAAAAGAUGGACGAGGGCUUGGACGCUUAUGGGAGGCGGAACCUGGCAACCGAGUUUAUGGAAGAUUCUGGGAAAGCGUUGCCCAUUUACUGUGCCAGCAGCAAACCUAAAAUAAGCAGUCUCACUCACGCAGGGAACUUUGGAGAAUUAAAGCUUGCGCCAGUCUUUGGAAGGGGGACAUACCCUCACUGGCUCCAACAGGACCUUGACCGAAAACGGUGCCCUCCCGGCGUUCUUGUUCCUUAUUUGCCUGUUUAUUUAAUCAAAUGACGCUGGCUGUCCUAUAUCUGCAGAACAUGGUUUCUAAAAGGAAACCAUUGGAGCUCAUUCCAUUUGCAUCAGUGGAAGAAGGGUUCUUUCCCUUAAAAUUGACUUCCCUGUGGCCUUUAAAAUGACUCCAAGGGUGGCUUUUGUCUCCCGGCCUCAGAAGGAAGUAGGAGAGUAGAAGACGUGUCUUCUCCCUGAACGCAGCCCACGCAGAAGGAUCUGUCCACGUGGGUUGUGAAACCAGAAAUGGUCGUGCGCCAUGAAAAGCCUUUUCUUUCUCUUCCUUUGAAGACGUAACGUGAAAACUGCAAGGAUGCAGGGAAUGCGAGCACAGUUUGUGUCCAAGAAAGAAUUUUUAGGAGAGAUGAGUCUAGACACCAAGAAACAGUGGGUCACACGCAGCUGGGACCCGGUCCUCAAGGUCCAAGGAGGCCCGUGACCUAUGCUCCCGUCCCAGGGCGGCGAGGAGGAAGACCUUUCACCUCUCGAGCUGCCAGUCCACACCUGAGAGAGGAAGACAGAUUGAGCUGAGGUCUCCUGGGGGCUCCUUUGUGUCCUCACCUUGUGGUUCUAGAACAAUGGAAUGUCAGGAGGCCAGGGAGACUGCCUUUCUCCCCUGUGUGUGCCAGAAACCGGGGAAAACCUUCCUCAUUUCCACCCCGCUGGAUCGUCCCGGGGACUCUGGAUGCCUCUCCUCGAUCGUCCGGGGCCAGUACACCCUCCCUGGACGGUGGGGCUCUGAGCCACCAGCCACUGACUGCUCUGACUCCCCUCUAGGGUCUUCAGCACCUUCCUAGAGUCUCUGUCCACGGAGGAAAGAACCAACAUCAGUCCAUACAGGCAAUGAGGACGGGGAAUGAGUGAACGCGUAUUUUACAAUCACCUGUUACAUACCAGUCACUUACUCCUCCCAGCAACCCGACGGAGGCCAGACAACCAUUCACUCACCUGCCAACUAUUUCAGAGCCCACUUGUUAUGUGGUGGUGCCGCGAGGCCUCAUUCUCCAGCAGGGACAAAACAGAACGGAGCCCUGCCCCCCAGGGAGGUGACUCUGAGAUUUGGUUGUACCACCUUCAAAGACCAAAUGACCAGCGUCGGCUCCUCUGUCUUCGUUCCAUAAAACCGAAAGCACCGAGUGCCAUUUAUUUCUUCGCCAGUGGAUUCUACGGAAUCAGCACGUGUUCAUACACACCUUCCUGGCCUCGGCCGCUGAAGCAGCAGGUCGUUAGUGAGCAGCUAACACAAGAGGCCAGAGCCCAGGUCUUCACCAUACCUCCGAAGGUGCCACCGAAACGCGACACGGAUUCCAGCGGGAACCCUGUGCUGAUCGCCGUGGGAAUGACAACCAUGUCACUUCUUUCAGUCCGCUGGUGGCCGGCCACGGCACAUCUGCGACUCAGGUGAUGCACAGACGGUAAAGAGUGUCGUUGUGUGGCUUCCUUGUAGCCCGCUGAGAAACCCACGUGACAUCUGACAAAAACGGAAAGAGGGAUCGGACCCCCCAAAAUGGAAGUGCAGCCAAGGAAAUCAUUGGUAAUGUUCCAGGUGAAAUUCAAAUCAGACGUCCAUGGAGCCAUAGAAGAAAUAGUUGAUUAUAUGGGCACGUUGAUGCUGCUGCUGUUCUAGAUGCUGCUAGACGCACAGCCAGAGAGUGGAGGAAGGCCUUCUAUUGACAGAAUGAGGAACGCGGUUCUGAUAUAAAGGGCGACAACGUCCCAGAGGGAGCGACACCAGCAAAAAUCUCCUUAAAAGAACUCUCACAGAUGCUUCACAACGUGGAAAACACAGAGGAAAUCAAAGCUGGUCCAUGCUUAGAACGGAGCGUGGAAAUUCGCCAGGGCACGUGGAAGGCACUCGCUCGGUGUGACGAGUUAUGUGACAGGCGCAGGGCAGGGCUGUUCAGGCUCCUCUCGAUGUAGGUGCUUCACAAAGAAGUAGAACGGUCUGAUCCUUGAGCUUUCUGAUGUGCGUGUUACAGUGCGUGAGACACAUGUCGGUUUUAUAUUUUGACCUUGCUCUUUUCACGUUGCUCUGUAUACACUCAGCACUGGCACUGACACAGCUUUGAAUGUUUGACAAGACCUAGUCAAGAUCUCUGGACAAUCGUAAGUCCUCCAUUGAUUCUUAAGACUGCUUUGCACAGGGGCGCCUGGGUGGCUCAGUCAGUCAAGUGUCCGACUCUUGACUUCAACUCAGGUCACGAUGUCAUGGUUCGUGAGUUCGAGCCCCGCGUCGGGCUCU